rnacentral:misc_RNA from 1 species
UUCUAUAUUUUGGAACUCGAUUAUGCCCAAACUAGUAGCUUCAUGAGUGUCUAUUCUUAUUUAUUUAUUUUCUGUAUGUUUGAAACUUUAAUUAUAUUGUGACCUAGUAGUUUCAUCAAUGUCUAUUCAUUUUCCUUUGUUUUUGCUUGUAUAUUAUUCCAUUUACCAAUAACAGCUUCAAUUCAUCUUGCCUGCAUGUAAGAAUUCAUAGUGAACAACAUGAUAUGAACAAAACUUAGCAGGUUAUGACUUAUGAUAGAUAAAUUAUUAGCUAAGGCCUGCAACAGUUUGAAGUGUUUCACAACCAGCCUAUGCAGUUUUUCUUGCCAAAAUUCUAAGUUAUUACUACCUCUCAUAUUUGGUUAGCUGGAUCAAGUCACCCAUUCAUUCUGAUACACAGUAUUAAGUGGUAACAUGUUAAAUGAAAUCCUUUUUGUCUCUCAUGUUUAUUCUGUUUUUGUUCAUCCAGAAUAUGCAUAUACAAUGCAA